GGCUUGUGUUGUCUCAUCAUACGUGUGUCAUCUUCCUUUUUCAUUCAGUCUAUGUCGAGUCCAUGAGAGAACAUGCAUCUGCCUUAGCCUUUUUUCUGCUGUACAAAAAGAGAACUCCGACCCAUUUCAUACCCCUCACUGUUUUGUUUUGAGACAGGGUCUCUUGAUUUAGCCCGAGUUGUCCUGAAAUUCUCUGUGCCAACAAGGCCGUCUUUGACUUGGAUCCAGUGCUAGAGCAACAGUGACUCUUGGCCACUGAUGUGCAUUUCUAGCUUCAGAACCCAUGACUUUUUAUGAUUCUUCAGUGUGAUCCCCACAAUGGCCUUGGGGACCGAUGCCGAGACCAUUCUCACGAUGUGACUUCUAUAAACCAUAAAGCAGCCAAUGUGUUUUACAAUCUGCUUCCUUUCAUCCUCCCUUCUCCCUUCAGGAGCCACUUUAGCACCACGACUAGGAGGACAGGAACAACCAGAGCCCCAUCAAAUCCAGCAGAGAGAUGGGACCACAUCACCACUACUACAACGAGAAGGCCAGGAACAACUAGAGCACCGUCAAAUCCUAUGGAACUUGAUGGGUUUGACUUGGAAGAUGCCUUGUAUGAUCAGAAAAAAAGCCAAGUACAGGAGAAGGAGGAGGUAAGUUCUAAAUGCUCGACAUCACAGG
rnacentral:lncRNA from 1 species